CAAGUGACCCCGGUCUAACCACCGGGAUGUUCAUAACCCUUUGUUGUCCGACUCUGUUGCCUCCGGGGCGACCCUGCCUUCGGGCGGGGGCUCCGGGAGGACACUUCAAACUCUUGCGUAACUUUGCAGUCUGAGUAAACUUAAUUAAUAAAUUA
rnacentral:misc_RNA from 1 species